GUCUUUACUCAUCAGUCUGUGGAUUCUACAAUUUAUUUGUAUCUCAGUUUUUCCAAUCUCUAUACUAAUUUUCAUAAUUUUCGCCCAACACGUCCAGUAAGCGGUCAAGCAAAGGCUGGUUGGUGUUCCGAUAAUCCGAACCCAUUCCCAUUCUGCAUCGCCAGACCCUUUCUGCAACUCCGCCAACUGUCCGAUGAAAUGCCCGUGUAUAACAUCCCACGGGGGUCCUGAUUCAACGUGUCUACCAUUCUUCAUUGCCGUGCAAUUGAUCCACAAUAGCUCAUUUCCACUUCUUUCUCUUAAAAGGAUGAAGUAGUUGCCAAGGAACCAAUUGAAUGACAAUUUCUCCAUCAACCAGGUGAAAAGCAUUAUGUUAAAGGUUACACGUUUACGGAAAUGAAUUCUUCAGCUGAGCUAAGACAUGCAAAAAAUUCCAAUUAAUCUAUGCGAUAAAUAUUAAAUAUAUGUGCGUGCAUCAUCGCUACGUCAUUUGUUUUACCCUGAUUUUCCUUUUUCUUAACUCUUGAUGCAAGAGGACUUGUAUAGUAAAAUUUUUAGGACUUCAAAUUAACUUAUUUCUGGUGUUAGUAAGGCAUAAAAAAGUGUGCUCAGAGGGCUAAUCUGAUCAUUCUGAUAACCGAGUACAAAAUAUUAGUAAUGUGGUAUGUGCCUCAUAAA